rnacentral:rRNA from 1 species
GAUGAACGCUGGCGGCGUGCCUAAUACAUGCAAGUCGAGCGAACGGACGAGAAGCUUGCUUCUCUGAUGUUAGCGGCGGACGGGUGAGUAACACGUGGAUAACCUACCUAUAAGACUGGGAUAACUUCGGGAAACCGGAGCUAAUACCGGAUGAUAUUUUGAACCGCAUGGUUCAAAAGUGAAAGACGGUCUUGCUGUCACUUAUAGAUGGAUCCGCGCUGCAUUAGCUAGUUGGUAAGGUAACGGCUUACCAAGGCAACGAUGCAUAGCCGACCUGAGAGGGUGAUCGGCCACACUGGAACUGAGACACGGUCCAGACUCCUACGGGAGGCAGCAGCAGGGAAUCUUCCGCAAUGGGCGAAAGCCUGACGGAGCAACGCCGCGUGAGUGAUGAAGGUCUUCGGAUCGUAAAACUCUGUUAUUAGGGAAGAACAUAUGUGUAAGUAACUGUGCACAUCUUGACGGUACCUAAUCAGAAAGCCACGGCUAACUACGUG